CCCUUAGAUGUUCUGGGCGGCCCGCGCACUACAAUGGCGUGUGCAGCGAGUGCCGAAGUAGAGUUUUCCGAGGUAUUCUUGCAAUGCUCGUUUUGAUGGGGAUAGACCCUUGCAACUGUUGGUUUUGAACGAGGAAUUCCUUGUAAGCAUGGUUUAUCAUCCGACGCUGAAUGCGUCCCUGCCCUUUGUACACACCGCCCGUCGCUCCUACCGAUGAGUGAUCCGGUGAAUAAUUCGGACUGCAGCAGUGUUCAGUUCCUGAACGUUGCAGCGGAAAGUUUAGUGAACCUUAUCACUUAGAGGAAGGAGAAGUCGUAACA
rnacentral:rRNA from 1 species